rnacentral:rRNA from 1 species
AUUGAACGCUGGCGGCAUGCUUUACGCAUGCAUGUUGGACGAGUGGCGAACGGGUGAGUAACAUUUCGGAUUGUACCGAGUAAUGGGGGAUCACUAAUCGAAAGAUUAGCUAUUACCGCCUAUUAUUCGACCGGCCCAUAUCUGCUUAGCUGGUUGGUGGGGUAAAGGCCUACCAAGGCGACGAACAGUAGCGGGUCUGAGAGGAUGAUCCGCCACACUGGGCCUACGAGACGGCCCGGACUCCUACGGGAGGCAGCGGUGGGGAAUUUUGGACAAUGGACGCAAGCCUGAUCCAGCCAUGCCGCGUGUCUGAAGAAGGCCAUCGGGUUGUAAAGGACUUUUGUCAGGGAAGCGGUACCUGAAGAAUAAGCACCGGCUAACUACGUGCCAGCAGCCGCGGUAAUAC